rnacentral:rRNA from 1 species
GGGAUCGAAGAUGAUUAGAUACCAUCGUAGUCUAAACCAUAAACUAUGCUGACUCGGGAUUGUUAAUAGUUAUUAUUUUGACAUUAGCAGCACCGUACGCGAAAGCAAAGUCUUUGGGUUCUGGGGGGAGUAUGGUCGCAAGGCUGAAACUUAAACGAAUUGACGGAAGGGCACCAUCAGGCGUGGAGCCUGCGGCUCAAUUUGACUCAACUCGGGGAAACUUAGCAGGGCAGGACAAAAGUAGGAUUGACAGAUUGAAAGCUCUUUCUUGAUUAUUUGGGUGGUGGUGCAUGGCCGUUUUUAGUUGGUGGUGUGAAUUGUCUGGUUAAUUCCGUUAACGAACGAGACCUCAACCUACUAAAUAGUAGAACCAUUCUUUCGGAUGGGGACUGUACUUCUUAGAGGGACUUUUCGCUUUUACCGGAAGGAAGUUCGUG